rnacentral:piRNA from 1 species
AGUCUGGCCCUGUGAGGAAAAGC